AUUUCUUUUUUUUACUAUGCUUGUUGUUGGAUGUGUUUUGGAUCUUGAUAAUUUGGGGUCGUACUAAAACAUUGACAUAUCUUUCCAAUGCCACUCUAGGAACAAAUUUGGCAGAAGAGGGUGGAGUUCUAAAUGCGACAAAAAAGGGCAACCACAAUAAAAAAUUUCCAAAGGGCCUAGAGAGAGCACACACCCUUCCUUCCAGACGCGGGUUAAAUCUUCAAACGAGAUCUGCAGGUCCAAACGGUGAUGGCAAAAAGGGCAUCAUAUUAGCAGCUGAAAGUGUUCUGCAGUUCAUUGGUUCACAUCUCCAAAACCAAAACUAACUAAGGUUCACUGGACAGUGUGUCCGGUAUACAUGCAGUGUGUUUUGAUUUGAUGAGUUCAAGGCUGGUAACAUUGUGAAGCAGACAAGACAUUAGAGCUGUGGAAGAAAGGCGAGAAUGCAACCCAUUAAACUCAACCCAUUAAGUUCAGAGUUUCCACGGAGAUCAGACGCAUCUAAGCUCUCUCUUUCACACCUCUCUAUCCGAAAUUGCAAGUCUGAAUAAUCGAUAUUCUCACCAAGAUCUGUUUCUAUGCGCGAUACAGCAUUCUAAUAUGUUUGUUACUAGUUGUUCUUUACAAGAGUAUAGCCAUUGUGUUGGAAGUUUUUUUAUAAGAAAAGGUUCAGUUUGGUAACAGAGAGUUAGUCGCAAACUGUUUUCGGUUAUAUUUGUGGCACACUCGAGUGUGGCUUUUGUUUUUGUUAUUUAUUUACCUUUUUUAAGAGAAGAAAUUAAGUCAAACUAAA